rnacentral:lncRNA from 1 species
AGCAGUUCAGCUACUUGAAGAAACCAAAUGGUAUGUUGAGGCAAAUUAAAACCAGAGAGUCAGUUGGAGAAGCCCGAAGAGUAACCCAGGUGUCGAAAUACAGACACAUCAGGAGAAAACAAUGCCAGCCUCCUGCCAGGGAUCUAUCUUAACUAAGCAUCCAAUUAUCUUUUGGCUGCAAGACUACGUUCUGAUUCCCUAUACUUCAAACUUGGUUUCUUCUUCACCCUGGAUACUUGCAGAGCCGGGCACCACUCAUGUGAUAAUGCCAGGCUGGAUUCUCUAGAAGCAGAUGCUGGGAGGCUAUUUGGGGUACAAGGUGUUCCUUAGGAAUCAACAGCUGUGUUGGGAAGGAGAGGACACAGGAUCGCACAAAGGAAGACAUCAACAGUGCUGUAGAGAGCCCUCCAGAGGGUAGCAUUUGUCAGAGUGUUCUCCAUUGGGCUGAAACACCUGGGCAUUCAUGUUCUUCUCACUCAAUCACCAAGAAAGGAAUAUAGAGGGGGAAUCCCUGGGAAGAGAAGAGGGCACGGCGCUGAGAGCUCUCUCUUUCCUGCUACCAUGUGAAGAAGGACUUCGCUUCCCCUUCACCUUCCACCAUGACUGUAAGCUUCCUGAGGCAUCUCCAGCCAUGUGGAACGCACCUUCUAAUUAGGUUAUGGAUCCUUGAUCAAGUUGGGCUGGAGCAAGGGAAAGCCUUGAUCAUGCCAAAGAAGUCGCUGUGGCCCAAUGGACAACAUUUUUCUGCAUGAAUUAACAUAUCAGUGUCUGUGUUGUAGAAGAAUCUUGGUGGAAAAAUUCUACAGAUCUGAGACCUUUAACAACACCAUGUGAUGAUUAUUACUGCUUAUGGGCAGCAAAUGGGAUUAGCAGACUGUGAUAUUGGCAAAAGAAAGCUGAUAUUCUUCUUUCCCGAAGGUAUACUACAUCAAAGACG